rnacentral:rRNA from 1 species
UACGUAGGGGGCUAGCGUUGUCCGGAUUUAUUGGGCGUAAAGAGCGUGUAGGCGGCCCGGUAAGUCCGCUGUGAAAGUCCAGGGCUCAACCCUGGGAUGCCGGUGGAUACUGUCGGGCUCGAGUCCGGAAGAGGAGUGUGGAAUUCCUGGUGUAGCGGUGAAAUGCGCAGAUAUCAGGAGGAACACCAAUGGCGAAGGCAGCACUCUGGGACGUGACUGACGCUGAGACGCGAAAGCGUGGGGAGCGAACAGG